CCCCGCGGCCGUUACCCCACCGCCUGCUGUCAUUGUGUUACCCCAUUGGCUUCUUCGCAUCCGGAGCUACACAGCCGGGAUUGGUUUGGUUCAUUUGUUUUAAACUACAUUGACUAUGCGGAUUGGUGGUCCCAAGCGUCUGUCACGCGAGGCCCCGCUGUUGCUACGGGGCAGAGGGACCCAGCCUAAGCUUCUCCCAAUUUCUGACUUGUUUCUCAGACUCCGGGGUCUAGAGGUUCCGGAUCCGUCAAGACCAUGGGAAAAAGAAUGCGCCUCUCGCGUUUGACUGACAAGACCUCAAAGCCAAUCGAAGUGGAGUCGAGGGAACCGCUGGGCGGUCCAAUAGGUUGUGGGGGGCGGGAGAGACAAGCCAAUGAUCCGUGUGAAGGGGCGGGGUCUAUCCUGUGAUUGGCUGCGGGGCGGCCGGAGGGAGGGCGGGGGUAACUCAAGGCCUGCUUGAUACGUCCGCCAUUUUGGGCGCUUCGCUGAUGGUGUCGGUGAACCUUUUUCCCGCCUGAGCGCGACUAACUGCGGGUCUUGGGCGCCUCCAGGAACACUUCUGUUUCAUACAAUAUCCUUUCAUACUUCUGCUAAUCUGCUAAUGUAAUUUGGAAGAUAGCUGUCACCAGGAUAACCUGUAAUGGGCAAGGAGCCACAGAGAAGAAAACAUUUCUUUUAGUUUUAACCUUGCUUUCAAAGAACAGCAUGUUUUGGAAAUUUGAUCUUCACUCAUCAUCCCACAUAGACACGCUUCUAGAGAGAGAAGAUGUGACACUGAAGGAGCUAAUGGAUGAGGAGGAUGUUCUACAGGAGUGUAAAGCACAGAACCGCAAGCUCAUAGAAUUUCUGUUAAAAGCAGAAUGUCUGGAAGAUUUAGUCUCAUUCAUUAUAGAAGAACCACCUCAAGAUAUGGAUGAGAAGAUCCGAUACAAGUAUCCAAAUAUAUCUUGUGAGUUGCUCACAUCUGAUGUCUCCCAGAUGAAUGAUAGACUGGGGGAAGAUGAGUCCUUGCUAAUGAAAUUGUAUAGCUUCCUCCUAAAUGAGUCCCCCUUGAACCCACUACUCGCCAGUUUCUUCAGCAAGGUGCUAAGUAUUCUUAUCAGCAGAAAACCAGAACAGAUUGUGGAUUUCUUGAAAAAGAAGCGUGAUUUUGUGGAUCUCAUUAUAAAGCACAUAGGAACUUCUGCUAUCAUGGAUUUAUUGCUCAGGCUCUUGACAUGUAUUGAGCCUCCACAACCCAGGCAAGAUGUUCUGAAUUGGCUAAAUGAGGAGAGGAUUAUCCAGAGGCUUGUGGAAAUAGUUCACCCAUCGCAAGAAGAAGAUCGGCAUUCAAAUGCCUCACAAUCACUUUGUGAAAUUGUUCGCCUGAGCAGAGACCAGAUGUUACAAGUUCAGAACAGUACAGAGCCAGACCCCCUGCUUGCCACUCUAGAAAAGCAAGAAAUUAUUGAGCAGCUUCUGUCAAAUAUUUUUCACAAGGAGAAGAAUGAAUCGGCCAUAGUCAGUGCAAUUCAGAUUUUGCUGACUUUGCUUGAGACUCGACGGCCAACGUUUGAAGGCCAUAUAGAAAUCUGCCCCCCGGGCAUGAGUCAUUCAGCUUGUUCAGUUAACAAGAGUGUUCUUGAAGCCAUCCGAGGAAGACUUGGAUCUUUCCAUGAACUCCUACUCGAGCCACCCAAGAAAAGUGUGAUGAAGACUACAUGGGGUAUAUUGGACCCACCUGUGGGGAAUACUCGAUUAAAUGUCAUUAGGUUGAUAUCCAGCCUGCUCCAAACCAAUACCAGCAGCAUAAAUGGAGACCUGAUGGAACUGAACAGCAUUGGCGUCAUAUUGGAUAUGUUCUUCAAGUACACAUGGAAUAACUUUCUACACACGCAAGUGGAAAUUUGCAUUGCUCUCAUUCUGGCCAGUCCUUUUGAGAAUGCAGAGAAUGGCACAAUUACUGAUCAAGACUCCACUGGUGACAAUUUGUUAUUGAAGCAUCUUUUUCAAAAGUGUCAGUUAAUAGAGCGAAUACUUGAAGCCUGGGACACAAAUGAGAAGAAACAGGCUGAAGGAGGACGACGGCAUGGUUACAUGGGACACCUUACGAGGAUAGCUAACUGUAUUGUGCACAGCACUGACAAGGGUCCGAACAGUGCGUUAGUACAGCAGCUCAUCAAAGAUCUUCCCGAUGAAGUCAGGGAGCGGUGGGAGACGUUCUGCACGAACUCCUUAGGAGAGACGAACAAGAGGAACACGGUAGAUCUAGUUACAACCUGCCAUAUUCAUUCAUCCAGUGAUGAUGAAAUUGACUUUAAAGACACGGGUUUCUCACAGGAUUCCUCUUUACAGCAAGCCUUUUCUGAUUAUCAGAUGCAACAAAUGACGUCCAAUUUUAUUGACCAGUUUGGCUUCAACGAUGAGAAGUUUGCAGACCAAGACGACAUUGGCAAUGUUUCUUUUGAUCGGGUGUCAGAUAUCAACUUUACUCUCAAUACAAAUGAAAGUGGAAAUAUUGCCCUGUUUGAAGCAUGUUGUAAAGAACGGAUACAACAAUUUGAUGAUGGCGGCUCUGAUGAAGAGGAUAUCUGGGAGGAGAAGCACAUUGCAUUUACUCCCGAAUCCCAGAGGAGGUCCAGCUCUGGCAGUACGGACAGUGAAGAAAGUACAGACUCUGAAGAAGAAGAUGGGGCCAAACAAGACCUGUUUGAGUCCAGCAGUGCAAACACAGAGGACAAAAUGGAGGUGGAUCUGAAUGAGCCACCCACCUGGUCAGCCAACUUUGACGUCCCAAUGGAAACCACCCAUGGUGCUCCCUUAGACUCCGUGGGAUCCGAUGUCUGGAGCACAGAGGAGCCAAUGCCAACUAAAGAGACAGGCUGGGCUUCCUUUUCAGAGUUCACAUCCUCCCUGAGCACAAAGGAGUCUUUAAGGAGUAAUUCGCCUGUGGAAAUGGAAACCAGCACUGAAUCCGUGGACCCCUUGACACCUGGUGCAGCUGCCUUGGCCACUCAGCCAGAGGCACCAGGCAGUAUGGCCAUGGAAGCCAGCUCAGAUGGGGAAGAGGAUGCUGAGAGUACAGACAAGGUAACUGAGACCGUGAUGAAUGGCGGCAUGAAGGAAACACUCAGCCUCACUGUAGACGCCAAGACAGAGACUGCAGUCUUCAAAAGGUUCUCUUCACACCUCCACCGACUCUGCGGGGUGCCAUGUGCAGUCGUGGACAUGUUUCCCCAAUUCCUCAUUUCUAGGAGUGUUCUGAAACUCUUGUACGUUUCUUUUUCUGUUUUGCACACUUGGCCUCAGAGUGUUGAAGUCCUACCGUGAGGAAGAAAAACUGUCUACCUCUCAAGAUGCUGCUUGCAAAGAUGCAGAAGAGACCCCAGAGCCAGCAGAGGCCAAGUGCACAGCUCCCCUGACUCCCAGCAGUAGUCCCGAGCAAAGGACCGACCAGCCAAGCAUGCCAAGCGACCCAUCAGUUAAUGGCCCUGUAUGAUGAGUGACGUCCACUGCUGCUGACUGAGGACUGCAGGCCACCACCACCCAGGGGCUCUGGAGGGCUCACCCAGAGCUACUGAGCCACCACUACUGCACUCUGCAAGAGAUCAGAACCAGCAGCCUUUCUGUUUCUAGAUUCUAAGAUGCUGUACAGAGAGACUCAGACAUGUAAAACACUGCACAUUGACAAAUACCAAGAAUUUUUUUGCGUAUGUUUAUAUUGUAUUGAUCUAAAUACUGGGUAGCCUGUGACACCAGAUCUUGCCGCCCAUGUAAUAAUAGUAAUGAUACAUAGUUCAGAUGGUUGUAAGAAUAGUUUUAUAAAGUGACUACACAGAUCUAUUGUAUUCGAAACAUAACUAUUUGACAAUUAUUAGUGUGACCAAAGUAUUAGGCAGUUUUCAUACAUUUUCCACCUUGUACAAAAUUCUGAAUUCAUUUUUCUUCCAGGUUGGCACGGAGCUGUCGAUGGAAAAGCCCUCUGCGUGUUAUAUUUUGGUUGUUCUGACUUACAAAGUGAUUUUGAAUAAGAAAUACUUGGUGUUUUUUUAUAACCCACUUUCAAUUGGUAACUGUUUUCUGUAUUGUUUCAGGCGGAUCAAAUGCUUGAGUCUUGGUGGAGAUUAAGUAUUUAUUGCUACAACUUAGUUGAUGAAUUGCUGUUCUUGUAAAGCCAUAUGUUCUGUUAAGGUCUGGUUUGCUCAGAGCGUUUCUUUCUGCAGGUGAAACACUAGAAUAUUGGAGUGUACAUGGCUGUGGUUAGAAUUUUAGGGGGGUUGGGGGGUGUUUGUUUUUUGUUUUGUUUUGGUAGUUCAUCCGCCUUUUAACCCAUUCACCAAAAUGUCCCUUGUCAGCAAGUAUCACUGAUGGCUAUUUCAGAGUGGUCUGCACCCACACUGCUCUGUGUCACAGAGGUGAGUCUGGAAUGCUCAUGUGGUGACAGGGUAGAGUGUGCCCAUCACGCGGGCUGGCUGUAACAGAAUCACAACCUGGCAUCCAAGCAUGUUUCUUGUUUUACUGUACCUUGUGAGGUUUUCACUUGUAAACCAGUGGAUUUUAGAACUGGUUUGUGUGUAUAUAGUGAUUAUGGAUACUAAUUCAGUGUAAUUUAUAAUUUUCUAUGUCAGCGUAAACACAUCCUAGCCUCCUCCAACAGCUGAAGCAAUGGCCUGUGCACUGCCGCGGCAUCGGGUGAAGAGCUCAGUCACCUCGCCUCUUGCACUUUUAGAUGCAGAUCAGUUUUUCAUUCUAUAAUAGAAAAUAUUCACAUAUUUUUACAUCAUUUGUUUUUUCCUGACCAGUAUUUAAAACCAAAAGGAUAUUCUGAAAAAAUGGCCAACAAGUUUUUUAGAACCAGCAUCCCAAGCAGUGUGCCUACAUGACAUCGCGUAUGGAGAUAGAGUCGAGUGUCCAAUGCCUUACUCCUUACUCGCUUCUCACUGUACACAGUGCAAGGGACCACCUCAGGUGGCCGAGGCAGGCCUGGUCACCAGGCUCAGUGGGCAGCAGGAAGCCCUGGGACUGGUGGCGAGGGGCUCGGUGGCCUGUGCUUGCCCGCUCAGGACCCUUCAGUCACAGCUCCUUCAGAAGAGACUGCGUUCUCUGGAACCUGGUGCCACCAGAGGACAGGGCUCCUUCUGCUCGUCUCAGGGAUGGUUGACCUGCGUGGCCCAGGACCUCACAUUGCUGGCGGAUGGCAUUCUCCUGUCUCACCUGGUUGACAAGCCUUGCUGACCCCAGCCAGGACUUGGCUCCUCCUAGUCAGCCCACACUGCCUCCUUGCUGUGGACUGGGCUGGCUUUUCUGUCCCACUGUCCACUGGGAAAGGAACGCUUGGGUACUGUUCUUGGGAAAGGACUUAGGCUUGCUUGUCAUAAGGAGAGGCUGUGAGGGUGAAAGGGGACAAGGUGUGUUGGGUUGGAGGGUGCCAGCCAGGGCUUGUGAUGAGUUCCUGCUCCUUUUCAUUUCUGUGUAUUGGCCGAAUGAAUUGCAAGACUAACAGACGUCUACAGUACAGUACCUGUAUCACAAGUAAUAACAAAAUAAAGCCUGAUGCUUUGUUUCUAUAAA